rnacentral:rRNA from 1 species
GAUGAACGCUGGCGGCGUGCCUAAUACAUGCAAGUCGAGCGAACAGACGAGGAGCUUGCUCCUCUGACGUUAGCGGCGGACGGGUUAGUAACACGUGGAUAACCUACCUAUAAGACUGGGAUAACUUCGGGAAACCGGAGCUAAUACCGUAUAAUAUAUUGAACCGCAUGGUUCAAUAGUGAAAGACGGUUUUGCUGUCACUUAUAGAUGGAUCCGCGCCGCAUUAGCUAGUUGGUAAGGUAACGGCUUACCAAGGCAACGAUGCGUAGCCGACCUGAGAGGGUGAUCGGCCACACUGGAACUGAGACACGGUCCAGACUCCUACGGGAGGCAGCAGUAGGGAAUCUUCCGCAAUGGGCGAAAGCCUGACGGAGCAACGCCGCGUGAGUGAUGAAGGUCUUCGGAUCGUAAAACUCUGUUAUUAGGGAAGAACAAAUGUGUAAGUAACUAUGCACGUCUUGACGGUACCUAAUCAGAAAGCAACGGCUAACUACGUG